CCCGGCCUCCUCCCGCCAGCUGAGUCCCCUCCUCCUCCCCGCCGCCUUCCCGGCGGCCGCCGAACCGCCGGCGGCGGGGGCGGUGGCUGGCGGCCGAGCUGCUCGGGUCUCGCCGGCGCUGCCCAUGGGGGAGUGCGGGGUGCCCCCCCAGGUCCAGCUCUUCCUCCGCGCCUGCGAGCAGGGAGACUGCGAGACCGCCCGGCGUCUCUUGGGGCUGCCCGGCGGCGGUACCGCCGAUCCGGCGGCACCCUCUUCCUGCGGUACCGAGGAGGCGGUGGCGGCGGAGCCCCGCGGCGAAGCGUCCGCCACGCCGGCCCCCGCCGUGCCCGUGGAUUGCACCGACGAGGCCGGUAACACUGGUCUGCAGUUCGCCGCGGCGGGGGGACACGAGCAGCUGGUGCGGUUCCUGCUGCGGAAGGGGGCUUCAGUACAGAGUAGGAACCACUACGGAUGGAGCCCCCUCAUGCAGGCCGCCAGGUUUGGACAUCUAAGUGUGGCUCACAUCUUGCUGGAGAAUGGUGCUGACCUCAAUGCACAGAAUAAGUUAGGAGCCAGUGUCCUUACAAUGGCCUCCAGAGGCGGCCAUGUCAGCAUGGUGAAGUUGUUGCUGGAAUCUGGAGCUUUUGUAGACAAUUACGACCAUUUUAGCACAAGUGUACUUAGCAGCAGCAGAGAUGACCUUCCUGAUAUUACUCCGCUAAUGGCAGCUGCUCAGCAUGGACAUGAGGCAGUGGUGCACCUGUUAUUAGACUGGGGAGCUGAUUGUAAUUACACUGUGAAGACUAUGGGCUGGAGUCCUCUAAUGCUGGCAGCUGUUAGUGGAAAGGUGAGCUUGGCACAGCAGCUUAUGGAGAAAGGUGCCAAUCCUGAUCACCUGAAUGUACUACAUAAAACACCUUUUGAAAUCUCUGUUGGCUUCAAACACAAAGACAUGAAGGACUACUUGGAAUCUCUCACAACGAUCAGACCCCAGGCAGACACAGAAAAGAGGCAACCUGAUGUCUUUCAUGCUCUGAAACUGGGAAACUUUCAGCUGGUUAAAGGGAUUGUUGAUGAAGACCCAAGUCAGGUCAAUAUUACCAAUGUCGAUGGCGCGUCUCCAUUAAUGAUUGCGGCUGUAACUGGACAGCUGCCCCUUGUUCAGCUCCUUGUUGAGAAAAAUGCUGAUAUUGACAAGCAGGAUAAUGUUCAUGGCUGGACAGCACUAAUGCAGGCCACAUACCACGGAAACAAAGACGUUGUAAAGUAUUUGUUAAAUCAAGGAGCUGAUGUGAAUCUUCGUGCAAAAAAUGGAUACACAGCUUUUGACCUCAUCAUGCUGCUGAAUGAUCCGGACACAGAGCUUGUACGGUUACUGGCAUCAGCAUGCAUGCAAGUAGACAAAGACAAGAACAAACUGAACAACAGAUCAUCUUUGCCUUUUUCUAGAAGUAGACAAUCCUUAAAUGUCCCAAUGUUGCCAGAUGACAAAGGAGGACUAAAGUCCUGGUGGAGCAGGAUGUCCAAUCGAUUCCGCAAGCUGAAGUUGACUCAGACGUUGCGCCAUGGAUUUCCUUCCAAUCAGUUUGUGCCUUUUCCUGAUGAGCCUGAACCAUCAUUAAAUUCCACCAUAAAAGCAGUUCCACAGAGCGAUACGGACACCUCUGGAAACCCUGAUGCUGCUACAGCUCGGAUCACAAAUAACAAAGCUAGUGGUGUAAACACUGCAAAAGGAGAAAAGGAUGAUGAAUUAUUGACAACCAUGUUGAGAAGUAGUGCUCCAUUUACCAGGCUGCCCAGCGAUAAACUGAAAGCAGUGAUACCGCCUUUCUUACCGCCCUCAAGUUUUGAGCUUUGGAAUUCUGACCGAACGCGACUCAGCAAAGAUGGCAAAGCUGAACAGAUGAGAACUGCCUGGCCACAGAGGGCAAUCAAGCAUGAUUUUAACAGCAGUGGGAACUCUGAUAUAACAUCUGUUAGCAAGGGUACUAGACCAGUCAAAUUACCAACAUUUGCAAGAAGACCUGCAUCUCCUUCAAAUUCCAACAACUUCAACCAUUCUCCCCAUUCUUCUGGUGGAUCCAACAACAUUGCAGGAAUUAACAGGCAUGGAGGAGAACUGCAUAACAGAUCAGGUGGAAGUGCAGAUAAUGUUUUGUCUCAGAUUGCAGCCCAAAGGAGAAAAGCAGCAGGCUUGCCUGAACAGAAGCCCAACCAACAGCAUAGUCCAGUCCAGUCAACUCCUUCAUCCACUCUCUCUGAUCUGCAGUGUGCUCAAAUUGUUGGCAAUGGACAUGUUGUGAAGCAAAAACUGGAGAUGAACAAAAGACCUCCAUCUGGGACUUCAUCUACAUCUAAAAGCACAUCACCAACUCUUACACCUUCCCCAUCACCCUCCCCGUCUCCUAAGGUUCACAAUGCAGAGUCCUCUCUCUCUUCUUCUCACAGACAGGCCAAGAGCAACGGUUCCAGCAGUGGUACCAUUACAGAAGAUGGCAACCACUUGGUGGACCAUCAACAGCUUGUCCCUAUUCUGAGAACCAGUGAUGUAGAGAAUCAUGAAAGACGAAACCAUGUGAGGGUAAAAGGAGGCUCUGAAAACUGGGAGAAAGAUGAGCUGACUGGCAUCCUUAAAAAAUUGUCACUUGAGAAAUACCAGCCUAUUUUUGAGGAACAAGAGGUGGAUAUGGAAGCCUUCCUUACACUUACUGAUGGUGAUCUGAAAGAGCUGGGUAUUAAAACUGAUGGAUCAAGGCAGCAAAUUUUGGCAGCUAUUUCUGAACUGAAUGCAGGAAAGGGACGAGAGAGACAGAUUUUACAAGAAACAAUACACAACUUCCACUCUUCGUUUGAGAGUAGUGUUAGUAACACACGACCUCCAGGUCAUUCCCAGUGUACUACUAGGUGAAGAGAAGCUGCUAUUUGGGAUUUGAUAAUGUGGUGCAAUGAACUGGAAUUACUCAAGAACUGAAGAAGCAUACAGAUGUAACGUGUCUCCAAGCAACUUGCUGAGCCUAACCACUGAGCUUAAAAGUGUCUUGAAAACAGCAAAAGACAGUAAUGGUGGCACAGAGCUGGGAAGAACAUCCUUUUCUAAGAAAGGAGGCAACAGUUGCUCCUGCUGACCAGUUGACAAGGUGCUGCAAGGAGGCUGCCAUCAGAGAUCUAGCUUUUGGGUUUUUGUGUGUUGGAGCUCCAUGAAAGAGAUUUGGCUGUGAAACAGCAACAAACAGAGAAGGAAGAGGAAGAGCACAUGUAGAUAGAAGAAGUUUCUGCACCAGAGCCAGCCUUGGACCUUGUGAAAUGCCUUGUAAAAAUCCAGGCAUCAACUGGACCGCUGUUAUCUACAAAACUGUUGGCACCUUCAAGGAAUUCCAGUAGGUUGGUGAUGCAAGACUUUCAAAUCUCUUUUUGAUUGUUUUCCACAAAAUUUCAGAUUCUUUAUUGUGGUAUAUGUUAAUCUGCCUGGUACUACUGGCCUUCUCACUGGUCUGUUUCCCUGGAUCUUGCCUUGAACCAUUAAAAAAAAAAAUUAGCAUCAUUUUUAUCACUUCUCCGUUAUGUGGCAAUUUAAACAAGAACCUGUGCUCUGUACUUAGCAGUUCAGCUGCUUAAUCCUUGUGUUCCUUUAGAAUGUCUUGCUUAGCAACUUAUUAUUUGCUUUGUGUAUUUGUUUCAUAACCUUUUUUACCAAUACUUCACGUUAAGAUACCUUGGACUCCCACAUAAAGAAGGCUUCUGAAAUGGGAACCUUCCCAAGCUUUUGCAUGGUGGGAAGAAAAGAGAACACCCCGCCAUCUAGCAGGGGCACUGAACAAAGGGAGGAUUUAGAUAUCAAAGGAAUAAACUGAAUAUUCUCCAGAUACAAGUUAAAUGAAGAGUAACUAUGCCUAUGAUGAAAAAAAGAGUAUGAUGCCAUUCAAUCUAUAAUUCUUUCCGGAAAUUCUGGUCUUCCAGUUUCUCUUGACAUAUGAUGCACCUGGCUGCUCCGUAAAACCACAAGAAGCUGUUCCUCCUAAAAGGUAGCUACUGGAAAAAAAGAUUUUUUUUUCUUAUGGUGAAAUUUGGCAUCUGGCUGAGUAAAUCCAAGUGUACAGAUGACUGUCUGAAGUUAGUCCUAACUACACCUGUAUAGGACUUUCUGCAGUAAUGUGCUUAAAAAUUGAAUCCCACAAAGAAUCAAAGAAAAUAAUGAAGAUAUUGUUUUUAUACUUCAACCUAAGUGUUGAAUUGUUCAAGGCAUCGGUGGUCUGGAUUUGAGAAGAACAAAGAAGAGCGGGAAGAAUAAAUGACCAUAUACGAAGACUGAUGUUUUCAUUCUACUCUUGCCCAUAGAUGAAGACCCCAUAGGAGGCCUGCAUGGGCACAAUCAAGAACAAUAAAAACAUGGAAGAAGGCAUGAAAACCACCACAAACUACGAGAGCUUCUAUACGGAGGAAUAUAUAAACGGACUAUGCCUCUGUUGACUGGACACAGAUAAAGGAGUCCAAAUGCAAAAUGUCAUGGUUUAAUGAGAAGGAGUAUAAAGGAAAAGUAAUGCUGCAUUCUUCAUUAACCAAAAUACACUUUAUCUAUUCAACAUUAAGGGGUUAGAACAGCAGUAAAAGUAAAUAUGAAAUGUCUAUUUGUAAAAAGAGCACUUUAUUUAAGGAAAUGCAUAAUCUGUCACCAAUAUUUAAACAAAUAGUGUUAAAAUAUUUUAUAUUGCUGAUUGGUUGUUUUAAGAAUAAAACCAUUUAACUGCUA